rnacentral:rRNA from 1 species
AUCGAUGAAGAACGCAGCGAAAUGCGAUAAGUAAUGUGAAUUGCAGAAUUCAGUGAAUCAUCGAAUCUUUGAACGCACCUUGCGCUCCUUGGUAUUCCGAGGAGCAUGCCUGUUUGAGUGUCAUUAAAUUCUCAACCUCUUCAUUUUGUUUUACAACUUUGAAUUGGCUUGGAUAUGGGAGUUGCGGGCUUCUAAGCAAGUCAGCUCUUCUUAAAUGCAUUAGCAGAACUUUUGUUGACCAUUAUUGGUGUGAUAAUUAUCUACGCCAUUUGAUGUGAAGCAGUUUAUAUAGAGUUCAGCUUCUAACUGUCUAUUCACUUGGACAAUUUAUUGACUAUUUGACCUCAAAUCAGGUAGGACUACCCGCUGAACUUAAGCAUAUCAAUAAGCGGAGGAAAAGAAACUAACAAGGAUUCCCCUAGUAACUGCGAGUGAAGCGGGAAAAGCUCAAAUUUAAAAUCUGGUGGUCCUUGUGGCCAUCCGAGUUGUAAUCUAGAGAAGUGUUAUCCGCGCUGGACCGUGUACAAGUCUCCUGGAAUGGAGCGUCAUAGAGGGUGAGAAUCCCGUCUUUGACACGGACUACCAGGGCUUUGUGAUGCGCUCUCAAAGAGUCGAGUUGUUUGGGAAUGCAGCUCAAAAUGGGUGGUAAAUUCCAUCUAAAGCUAAAUAUUGGCGAGAGACCGAUAGCGAACAAGUACCGUGAGGGAAAGAUGAAAAGAACUUUGGAAAGAGAGUUAAACAGUACGUGAAAUUGUUGAAAGGGAAACGCUUGAAGUCAGUCGCAUUGGCUGGAAAUCAACCUUGCUCUUUUGUGGGGUGUACUUUCUAGUUGAUGGGUCAGCAUCAAUUUUGACCGUUGGAAAAAGGUUGAGGGAAUGUGGCAUCUUCGGAUGUGUUAUAGCCCUUGAUUGUAUACAACGGUUGGGAUUGAGGAACUCAGCAUGCCGCAAGGCCGGGUUUUUAACCACGUAACAUGCUUAGGAUGCUGGCAAAAUGGCUUUAAUCGACCCGUCUUGAAACACGG